GGAGGGGCCGUGGUCUUUCUCCUUCUCUCUCGCUACGCUUCCCACUUUUAAAAUAUGCCUCACGUUCCUCGGCAAUCUGUUGUGCUGCAUCUGUCCUGUGUGGCUGUAAGGGCGGACAUGACUAAUCUAAGCCUGCCAUCUGGUUAAAGACAUGGCCCCUGCUGUCGCCUGUAUUUCCCAUGACUCCUCACCGCUCCACUCCCCGCGGAGUCACGUCCGGAGAGGUCAGAGGUCAGCCCCGUGACCUGCAGAGAGGCGUUUCUCCUGCUGCUCAGAGGCUAAGUUUGCAGCCUUUAAAGGAAGAAAGCGCUUUUACCUUGGGCCUGUGGAGUGAGAAUCUGUAGAGGCUCAACUGAAGAUCAUGACCGCCUGGGAUCCUUCAGCACGCUGCAGCUGGUGGAGGGGUGAAG